AGAGCUUGCUCGAAGACGGUGAGAGUGGCGCACGGGUGCGUAACGCGUGAGCAACCUACCUCUAUCAGGGGGAUAGCCUCUCGAAAGAGAGAUUAACACCGCAUAAUAUAUCUGACCGGCAUCGGUURGMUAUUAAAUAUUUAUAGGAUAGAGAUGGGCUCGCGUGACAUUAGCUAGUUGGUAGGGUAACGGCUUACCAAGGCGACGAUGUCUAGGGGCUCUGAGAGGAGAAUCCCCCACACUGGUACUGAGACACGGACCAGACUCCUACGGGAGGCAGCAGUAAGGAAUAUUGGUCAAUGGGCGGAAGCCUGAACCAGCCAUGCCGCGUGCAGGAUGACUGCCCUAUGGGUUGUAAACUGCUUUUGUCCAGGAAUAAACCUUUCUACGUGUAGGRAGCUGAAUGUACUGGAAGAAUAAGGAUCGGCUAACUCCGUGCCAGCAGCCGCGGUAAUACGGAGGAUCCGAGCGUUAUCCGGAUUUAUUGGGUUUAAAGGGUGCGUAGGCGGCCUAUUAAGUCAGGGGUGAAAUACGGUGGCUCAACCAUCGCAGUGCCUUUGAUACUGAUGGGCUUGAAUCCAUUUGAAGUGGGCGGAAUAAGACAAGUAGCGGUGAAAUGCAUAGAUAUGUCUUAGAACUCCGAUUGCGAAGGCAGCUCACUAAGCUGGUAUUGACGCUGAUGCACGAAAGCGUGGGGAUCGAACAGGAUUAGAUACCCUGGUAGUCCACGCCCUAAACGAUGAUAACUCGAUGUUGGCGAUAGACAGCCAGCGUCCAAGCGAAAGCGUUAAGUUAUCCACCUGGGGAGUACGCCCGCAAGGGUGAAACUCAAAGGAAUUGACGGGGGCCCGCA
rnacentral:rRNA from 1 species